UUUUAGCCCCGAUAGCAGUGAAAAUCCUUAUGUGCUAGGGUUCGGCACAUAAGAUUGCAACGGAUAGCGGGAAAUAGC
rnacentral:sRNA from 1 species